rnacentral:tRNA from 1 species
GCUGGUGUGGCUCAGCGAUUAGAGCAUUGGCUGGUACACCAAAGGAUCAGCGGUUCAAAUCCCUGUCAAGGGCA